UAGCUGACAGAGGUGUUCUGGACGCCAUCGUCCUUUCUUCAGUGAAGUCAUCCUGCCUGAAAUUAACACUUGGGAAACACACAGGAGCCCUGAUGGUGCCAUGUGAAAACAUCUUGUUCUUACCUGGCAACCCAGAUGGAUGGAUACUGGCCCUGGAGUUGCUUUCCUUAAAAUUAGUGGAAGCCAGUGUGGUCCAUCAAUACCCAUCCUCACAACUGCAUCUGUAUCAAGUUUGGCCUCAUGGGGAAGUACUUCACCCUAGGAAGUGCAGAUCCUUUGGCCAUUUGGGAGGUAGACAAGUUAGUUUGUGUGCGGUGCUUUUCCAGGCUGGAUUGACCUGUGAGGACCCUGAAUUUUAACCUUGAUGGGAAAAUGCUGGCAUCAGUAUCAGAGGAUCAUUUUAUUGACAUCGUUGAAGUAGACAGGAUACACAGCCGCCAUGAAUAUCACCAUUCCCAUUUUACAGAAGAGUAAGCCUUGGCUCUGAGAAGCUGACAACUGACCUAGGUUAGUGAGAGAUGGAGCCAGGACUUCAAUCUCAGAGUACUGACUUUGCUCCAGCCUGUAGGACAGCCUCUUCACAAGUUCCCUGAGUAAGUUACAGAUCAACUUUCUACUUUGUGUUGGCUUGAUGUUCUGUUCUAAUGCAUGGGAGAGCAUAUAUUCUUGUGAUUUCUGUGAAAGGCCAUUGAAAUUAAACUUGGAUGUAUUGGUUCUUGCUUUUGCAGUUAUCCUUCUUUCCAGUGGUUGCUGUUACUCUGUUUCUGUUUAUAUCCCCUUGGUCUUGUGAUCAAGUGCUAAUUUUGGUCUAGUUAUUAAUUAAUUGAUCAAUAAUUUUCCUUCCCAUUGACAUGCAUUCUCUUAUUU